GACGAACGCUGGCGGCGUGCUUAACACAUGCAAGUCGAACGAUGAAGCUAGAGCUUGCUCUGGUGAAUUAGUGGCGAACGGGUGAGUAACACGUGAGUAACCUGCCCCGAACUCUGGGAUAACUGCUGGAAACGGUAGCUAAUACUGGAUACGACCUACGAAGGCAUCUUCUGUAGGUGGAAAGAAUUUCGGUUCGGGAUGGACUCGCGGCCUAUCAGCUUGUUGGUGAGGUAAUGGCUCACCAAGGCGACGACGGGUAGCCGGCCUGAGAGGGUGACCGGCCACACUGGGACUGAGACACGGCCCAGACUCCUACGGGAGGCAGCAGUGGGGAAUAUUGCACAAUGGGCGCAAGCCUGAUGCAGCAACGCCGCGUGAGGGAUGACGGCC
rnacentral:rRNA from 1 species